rnacentral:rRNA from 1 species
GACGAACGCCGGCGGCGUGCUUAACACAUGCAAGUCGAGCGGUAAGGCCCUUUUGGGGGUACACGAGCGGCGAACGGGUGAGUAACACGUGGGUGACCUGCCCUCAGCUCUGGGAUAAGCCUGGGAAACUGGGUCUAAUACUGGAUAUGACCUUUCCUCGCAUGGGGUUGGGUGGAAAGUUUUUCGGCUGGGGAUGGGCCCGCGGCCUAUCAGCUUGUUGGUGGGGUGAUGGCCUACCAAGGCGACGACGGGUAGCCGGCCUGAGAGGGCGACCGGCCACACUGGGACUGAGACACGGCCCAGACUCCUACGGGAGGCAGCAGUGGGGAAUAUUGCGCAAUGGGCGGAAGCCUGACGCAGCGACGCCGCGUGGGGAUGAC